CAUGGACCAGGAAACAGGAAACUCAAGAGAAAUUUUACACAUGUUAAAAAUGCAAAGUUAAUCAAAUGUGCAUGUUCAUUGAUCAGCUAUAUUCUGCCUGCUGUGUCUUGCAAAGGCUUCUCUGACCUGAUGAAUCCAUUACUGGGUGACACAGGAAACAUGAAGGGGAAUCUGUUGGAGCACCUUCAUACCUCGUGGUAAUUUCCUGUUUGGACCAGAGGAGGGCACUCUCUCCUCUCCCAAUGUCCUAGCUGCUGAAGAUGGCGGAGGUUCACGGAGGAAGAGUAAGCUCUUUAGAUUUUUCAGCUACAUCUCUUCAACUCCUAACUCCACCUCUUCCAUCUCCUCAAACAGGGGACAAAGGGACCCUUGUCUGACCACUGCCAUCAGGAAGUCAAGGCUGGUGUAAUUAGAAAGGGGCGGGAACAGGGCUCCCAACUAAAAGGCAACAAGGGAAAACCAAUCCCUCCUGGAAUUAUCCUGAUACUGGAGAGACGAGGCUCAGCAGACAGUGGAUCAAUGGGCCUAUCCAGGGAGGAGAGGGAAAAAGGAGGGGACCAGAGCAGGAUAUUGCACCAAAGAAAGUGUGCCAUGUUGUGUCCAAAUUACCCCUAAAGUUGUGGGGGAUCUUGUUACCUGUUCAGUUGUUUGAACAUUCACUUACCUGCUUUGGCUGUAUGCCCGUGCCACACCUACUACAGAUCUGACUUUGUAACUAGUAUUACAUAUUACAAUGACACAGAAUUGUCCUACAAUCUUUGUUCUCUUGAGGUCUACCACACAACAUAAAGCACAAGUUAAAAAGCUUCUCUGGACUUGCACAGUGUUCUUGAACAUAAUAAAGCAUAAUAAUCAAGCUAGUUUAGUUCGGUUGAAAUUCGAGGUGAAAUUGCUACUCAGCUGCAGUUUGAAAUAUAAUAUUCUACAUAAACACCAAAACACAAAUACAGUCAGUGGUUGUGCUGGGGAUUUAUUAAUUUGGAGAAAAAGCAGGUUUAGAAAAAGGUACAUUUAGAUUAAGUGAUCAAACAGCUGAACAGGCAAUCAAGCAUUUAAGCUACAACUAAAACACCCAUACUAAAAGAAGGUGCACUCCACUGCACAAGAACUACACUGACUCAAACAGUAGACAAAAAAAGUACUUGCAAAAAGCAGGACCACACAGUUUGUUGCCUGAUGAUGGUGCAUUUUGUUGCAGCAAAAGUUGAGCAAGAUUAAACUAUUUGAUGGAUGUCUCAGUAUUUUUUUUUUUUUUUUUUU